GUAAGACUCCUGGAAGAACACCAGGUUGAUAGGUCAGAGAUGUAAGCAUGGCAACAUGUUAAGUUGACUGAUACUAAUAAGUCGAGGGCUUGACCAAAUAA
rnacentral:rRNA from 2 species